GGUCAUGUGUAUCCCUUGCUGGACUGGAACUCUAUGUAGAAGAGGAUGCUGGGACCACGGGCAUGCCCCACUGUGCCUGAUUUAUGUGGUACUGUGGAUCACACCCAGAGCUUCAUUGAUGAUACAGGAGUUUUUGGACCGUGCCUGCCUGGCCAGCAGGGAACAGGAAACCCUGAGAGUUCAAAUAUUAGUGGAAGAGACUUUGCCAGAUGAGGAUCUGAAAACCAUACAGAAGCAAGAUUUGGCACCCGCAUCCAAGAGCUGCUUCAGGUUAAGUGUAUACAUCCAGACCACAGGUAAGAAGAACCGGGGAAGGGCAGAUGCCGGCUUCAGGUGCAGAGACUUUCCCCUAAGGAAGGUUGCCCUGGCUGGAGCACCUUACAGGGUCUCUGGGUGACGCCCAGCCUUCAAUGCACUUUGUUAUCCCCUGGGGUUGUCACAGUAUUGGCACUUGAGUUUCCCCACCCAAAGGUUGCCCAAGGAGCUUGGGCUUUAAAAAUACCCGCCCCCUCCAGCCUCAGAGUUCUAAUGUGUGCCAGCAGGGAGAACCAUCACACCAUGGAAUGCCUGGGACUGUUUAGGAACGCCCUGUUGCUGUGAUCCAACCUAGAGGACCUAGUGUGGAGGAGAGAGGGGUGAGCUGAUGUGGGCCUCAAAGGAUAAGAAAAAGCAGAGCAAGUGCAGGUGUGUGGAGAAAGUAGAGAAAGCCUAGAGCCCAGGGGCGGGGCAGAGCCAAGGGGCAGGUCAGAGCCCAGGGGCAGGGCAGAGCCCAGUGGUAGGACAGAGCCCAGAAGUGGCCUAGAGUUUAGAGGUGGUCAGAGAGUCAGGGUAAACACCAAGCAGUUUGAUUCCUGCCUAGAGUUUGAUUCGAGACUAGAGACACAGGCCUGGGGUUAGGGGCUGCGGAGGUAGGGAUGUCGAGGGGUACAGUCUGGUUGAAAACUGGGCUGAACAGGAACAGUGCACUGCUUAAACUAUGAGAGGAGUGAACAGACAGACUGUAGCAUGGGAAGUAUUCUAGUAGGCAAAUAAACAGCCUUGAAAUCUGUCCA
rnacentral:lncRNA from 1 species